AUGAACGCUGGCGGCGUGCCUAAUACAUGCAAGUCGAGCGAACGGACGAGAAGCUUGCUUCUCUGAUGUUAGCGGCGGACGGGUGAGUAACACGUGGAUAACCUACCUAUAAGACUGGGAUAACUUCGGGAAACCGGAGCUAAUACCGGAUAAUAUUUUGAACCGCAUGGUUCAAAAGUGAAGGACGGUCUUGCUGUCACUUAUAGAUGGAUCCGCGCUGCAUUAGCUAGUUGGUAAGGUAACGGCUUACCAAGGCAACGAUGCGUAGCCGACCUGAGAGGGUGAUCGGCCACACUGGAACUGAGACACGGUCCAGACUCCUACGGGAGGCAGCAGUAGGGAAUCUUCCGCAAUGGGCGAAAGCCUGACGGAGCAACGCCGCGUGAGUGAUGAAGGUCUUCGGAUCGUAAAACUCUGUUAUUAGGGAAGAACAUAUGUGUAAGUAACUGUGCACAUCUUGACGGUACCUAAUCAGAAAGCCACGGCUAACUACGUG
rnacentral:rRNA from 1 species